rnacentral:rRNA from 1 species
GGUUAAGCGACUAAGCGUACACGGUGGAUGCCCUGGCAGUCAGAGGCGAUGAAGGACGUGCUAAUCUGCGAUAAGCGUCGGUAAGGUGAUAUGAACCGUUAUAACCGGCGAUUUCCGAAUGGGGAAACCCAGUGUGUUUCGACACACUAUCAUUAACUGAAUCCAUAGGUUAAUGAGGCGAACCGGGGGAACUGAAACAUCUAAGUACCCCGAGGAAAAGAAAUCAACCGAGAUUCCCCCAGUAGCGGCGAGCGAACGGGGAGGAGCCCAGAGCCUGAAUCAGUGUGUGUGUUAGUGGAAGCGUCUGGAAAGGCGCGCGAUACAGGGUGACAGCCCCGUACACAAAAAUGCACAU